rnacentral:lncRNA from 1 species
UACAACCGAACGUAAACAACCGCUAGAAGAAGGCGAAACAACAAAAGGCCAAAUUAGUAACAAAGUUUACCGGAUAAUUGGAGCCGGAGCGCCGGUGCUUUCGUUAUUGGCUACAUGGCGGCGUUAAAAUUGUUCAUACUGUCCAUAUUUCUAUCCGUAAUCCUCACGCACAUCAAAGCCGAUGCUGAUGAUGAUGUCCAAUUACUCAAAUCGGACGGAUAUGAUUCCGUCCUGCUAGAACAGCUCAGGAACAAGAUCGGUGCUCUUGGUUAGUAGU